rnacentral:rRNA from 1 species
AUUGAACGCUGGCGGCAUGCUUUACACGUGCGAGUCGAACGGUAACAGGCCGCAAGGUGCUGACGAGUGGCGCACGGGUGAGUAAUGCAUCGGAACGUGCCCAGUCGUGGGGGAUAACUACUCGAAAGAGUAGCUAAUACCGCAUACGAUCUAUGGAUGAAAGCGGGGGACCGUAAGGCCUCGCGCGAUUGGAGCGGCCGAUGUCAGAUUAGGUAGUUGGUGGGGUAAAGGCUCACCAAGCCAACGAUCUGUAGCUGGUCUGAGAGGACGACCAGCCACACUGGGACUGAGACACGGCCCAGACCCCUACGGGAGGCAGCAGUGGGGAAUUUUGGACAAUGGGCGCAAGCCUGAUCCAGCAAUGCCGCGUGCAGGAAGAAGGCCUUCGGGUUGUAAACUGCUUUUGUACGGAACGAAACGGCUCUGGUUAAUACCCGGGGCUAAUGACGGUACCGUAAGAAUAAGCACCGGCUAACUACGUG